GGCGGCAUGCCUUACACAUGCAAGUCGAACGGCAGCACGGGGGCAACCCUGGUGGCGAGUGGCGAACGGGUGAGUAAUGCAUCGGAACGUGCCCUGAAGUGGGGGAUAACGUAGCGAAAGUUACGCUAAUACCGCAUAUUCUGUGAGCAGCAAAGCAGGGGAUCGCAAGACCUUGCGCUUUGGGAGCGGCCGAUGUCGGAUUAGCUAGUUGGUGAGGUAAAGGCUCACCAAGGCGACGAUCCGUAGCGGGUCUGAGAGGAUGAUCCGCCACACUGGGACUGAGACACGGCCCAGACUCCUACGGGAGGCAGCAGUGGGGAAUUUUGGACAAUGGGCGCAAGCCUGAUCCAGCCAUGCCGCGUGAGUGAAGAAGGCCUUCGGGUUGUAAAGCUCUUUCGGUGGGGAAGAAAUUGCUUAGGUUAAUACCUUAAGUAGAUGACGGUACCCGCAUAAGAAGCACCGGCUAACUACGUGCCAGCAGCCGCGGUAAUACGUAGGGUGCGAGCGUUAAUCGGAAUUACUGGGCGUAAAGCGUGCGCAGGCGGUUU
rnacentral:rRNA from 1 species